GUGCAUUGUAGUUGCAUUGCAUGUUGUCAUGAAACUAUGCAAUACUUCUAUAGUGCAACAC
rnacentral:pre_miRNA from 1 species